rnacentral:lncRNA from 1 species
UCUGGAAAUGUGUUCAAUUUAGGGUCUGUAGUGAUCUUCUGGAGUUCAAAGAAGCAGGAUGUGGUUGCAUUAUCAUCAUCGAAAGCAGAAUAUGUUGCUGUAACUUCAGCAGCCUGUCAAGCCGUAUGGUUACGAAAAAUGUUAGUUGAUGUUUCUAUCAGCAAGAGGGUGAGAUAGAAAUAUUCCGCGAUAUCAAAGCAACAAUUGAAAUGACAAAGGACCCGACUUUUCACAACAAAACAAAGCACAUAGACAUCUGUAAUCAUUUCAUUCAUGACCACACAAUAAGAGGUGAUAUAGAGUUAAAGAUUUGCGAUACAAGGGAUCAAACUGCAGAUGUUUUCACCAAGGCACUCUCACAAGUCAAGCAUGAUCAGUUUCGGCAGAAACAUGUAGUUUGUAAUUUUGAAUCAAGAAGGGUGUUAAAUAUUGAUUCAACACCACAUGCAAGCACAAAAUAUUCGGUAACACAUUUACUUUAUAAACCAUGUGAAAAUCAUGCAAGUUAUAAUACAUAAAUUGUGGUAAGUUUCCUAGUCACAGUAUUCGUGUUGAAAUACCAAACUUAUCACUUCAAUUAAUUUGUACAACUUUCAUUCUAUCACCUAUAUUCAUGUCAUAUAAAUCUUGUGUUAAAUCUCCUUGAUAGAGCAUUUCAUAACUAAUUUACAACACCCAAUCCCCAAGGUUACAUUUCACCCUCAUUCGUCAACUCAUAUUUAUUAACUAGUCUGUAUGUCAUUCAAUUUCCACCAACAAAGAGGCAUAAUUUCAUUUCUGUUUGAAACUUUAUAUAACUAAUUCACUAUUAAAGAAUCACAAUAUAACUCACUAGUGAAACUAAGAGUAUCUUAGGGUUAGAUUAAUAAUCUUCCUUUGUUCAUGGGUAUUCUCAUAUUGAAAUCAGUUCAAGUUCAUAUUCGAAUUAUCAAUGUCACGUUAACCCAAUCCCUGGUAAUACAUAAUAGGCAUGUCAAUGAACUGAAAUAAAAUACUUUGAAAUCCAUAUUUAUAAGUGCACAUGUUCAGUUCUUUAUUUUUCUUUCGUGUGAUGACUAUCUUCGUGCUCCUUCAUACUUAUAACUGCAAAGGUUUAGCAGACAUGAAACCCUUUUUGUUAAAAAUAUAUUUGCACGUGAGAUGGGGCUAAAGCCCAUUCCCCUUCCUUUUGUUUUUAACUAAAACUAAUGACUAAAUUGCUCUAAUUUAAUAAUAGGGUUUAAUUAUAGGGUAUUACAUGUAGAGUUGUUGUUUUGAAAUUGUGUUUGAGUGCCAAUACCAAUACCAAUGAUUUGGUACUUUUAAAUGUGAAAAAGGAUCAUGGGCGACUUUUUUGCAAGUUAACCAUUUUGUUUAAACCUAUGUUAGUGUGACUACCUUGUGAGUUGUGUGAUUCAUUUUUCCCAACUUGUGUCUGCACCUUUUUGUUGGUAAAGAAAAUAAACCUUCAAUCCCAACCACUUUCAAUUGUUAUACCUCUUUUUUUACCCAAAAUAUUCUUAAAGCAUUGAGGUGUAACUGUAUUCCAACUUAGGCCAAAGUGAAUGUGUAGAUGAAGUUCGCAUGGUUAAUAUAUGUCGUGUCAAUGGAAUAUGAUAAAAAAAACUGUGGCAAAAGCCAUCUACAACCAAAUAUUUCAACACUUCUGAAUCCUUGCUUCCUUUCAAAAGUUAGAUUAGAAACGAAAGCAUUUGGUCUUGUCAAGAUACAACACAAAAUACUAAAUCAAAUCCUCAACACUAAGCGUCAAAGUUGGAAAUGUUUCUGAAUGCAUUAAUCUAAUCAAAGCAAGACUUGAAUGAAAGAAGGUUUAAUUAUUUUGGAUGAUGUGGAUCAUAUGAGACAAUUAGAAUCCUUAACAAGAGAUAGAAGCUAGUUUGGUUUUGAUAGUUUAAUAGUUAUUACAACCCAAGAUGAAUAUUUGAUAUUCCGGCAUAGAGGAAAUGAGAGAUAAAGGACCAAACUUUUAAAUCACGAUCAACAACAUUUCUUGUCAUACUAAAACAGUCUUUCUCCACCACAAGAAUAUGUUGAGCUUGUAUAAAAUAAAAUCAAAUAUUCAGGUGGGCUGUCAUGAUCUAUUAUGAGGUCACAUUUGCAAGGGAGAUCCAUAGAAGAAUGGAGAUACGAAUUCAGAUAAACUAAGAGAAGUUCCUCAUUGUGAUAUUCAAAAGAUUCUCAAGAUAAGCUUUAAUGGACUUGAUUGUGAUGCUCAGAGUAUUUUUCUUGAAAUCGUUUGCGCCUUCCAUGGAUUUUUUGAGGAUGAAGUUACCAAAACAUUAAUUUUGUGUGGUUUUUAUUCCGAAAGUGCAAUUUCAAUCUUAGCCUAAAGGAACUUGCUCAAAAGCGAUUGUCGUUAUUUGGUGAUGCAUGAUCUUGUUCGGGCAGUCGAGGGGCCACAAUAUUCUUAAGGGGGUUCGACGUAUAAAGUAAUAAACACAUGAGAUGGGAAAGAAAAAUAUUAAUCUUUACUCGCUAAAUUUAACUUGUGUUGUGAUACUGCAUUUAGGUUCUUCGUACUUUUUACCCUGCUCCAUCGAGUUUCUUUUUCAAAGUCUUGUACCUUUUUUUUCUUUAAAUUUACCUGUGUUUUGUUUUACUUUGUUAUUUUAUUAAGAAAAUACUAAUUAGUUUCCUCUCAAUCAUAUGUUACUAUAAAAAUCACCAAGAUCUUAUAAAAGGAAUUAAAAUUGACAUAUUCAAGAAAUAAAUAAAUGACAUCAACAUUUUUCUAGUUCAUUUAAAUCAUUUACUAGGUUAGUCAUUUGUAAGAAAAAACAAAUAAUCAAUAAAUUAAAUAAGAUUAGUUUAAAUUUCAUCUCCUUAGAAUAAAAUUGAAAAAGUACAAUGAAAUUAAAGAAAGAAAAUUUAAUUAAAUAGAUUUUGUUAAAAAAUUAACAAAAAUUAUAUAUUUCUUCAUUCGGUUAAAUUUAAUUUACUUUAUUUUAUAUAAAUAGUUUUUAAACUAAAUUUAAAAUUUAAGUAAAAUUCAUCAUCUCUUCAACUUUGUACAUAGAAAGAGCACUAUGUGAAAAACUAUAAAAUCAUAUAUAUAUAUAUAUAUAUAUAUUAUAUAUAUAUGUAUGUAUGUAUGUAUGUAUGUAUGUAUGUAUGUAUGUAUCAUCAUCAUAUCAUAUAUUUAUUUGAAAGAGAACCUUAGGCCCGCUUAUUUGGCGCCACUACAAACCAGGAUUCACUUUUUCCUUAAUUAUUCUCAAAAUUAGUCUUUCCUUACAUGAAAAGUUGUGAGUUUUAUGAAAUGUUGUGACUUUUUAUGAAAAUUUCCGACUUAUACGAAGAGUUACAAAUUUUAUGAAGAGUUGUGACUUUUAUGAAGAGUUGCAAUUUUUACGACGAGUUACGACUUAUAUGAAGGGUUGCAACUUUACUGAAAAAUUCUUACUUUUAUGAAAGAUUGUGACUUGUCCAUAGAGUUGUGACCUUUCCGAUAACACACAAUAAACAUUCGAAGCUACCCUUUGUAGUCUAUAAAUAGAGGGAUUUCCUCUAAUUUUAAAAUAACGAAAAUACAUGUCCUUUGCUCAUGUUGAGUGGCUCACUGACACCAUUGUUUUUCAAUCAACACACUAGUUAAUAGAAUUAUUCUGUCCUGACGUGAGAAGAUACAUUCCUUUAAACUUCGGGUACUAGAAUGAAAAAAAAUCCUUAACGGGACAAUGUCCAAUAAGUGGGCUCGGUUUUUUCCUUUAUGUUUCAUUUAUUAUUACAGAUCCUGUUAUGCUUUUACAAUAAUAAAUUUAUGCUUAAAUUAUUACUUUUUAUUUUUGAGUACAUGUUUUAAAUAUUUUUGUUUAUGUUUAUUCUUUUGAUCAUUGUUUUGAAGUAAAAAUAUUUUAAUCAAGAGUUUGAUGUAAUUAUUAGACUAUUAGUGUCAUUUAUAUGAAAAUUCUUAAAGUACAAAAAAUAAUGAGUUUGAUUUUUAUAGAUUUUUAGUGGUUAAAAGAUCCAUGGGAUGUCUAUGAAGGGACUUUGAGUGUUCAAAAGAUAUGGUUGUUCCACACUACCUUCGUGUUUUAUUUAUUCAAUUUUCUAUCUUAUCGAGUCAUUUAAUCGAUCAUUAUGAUCCAAAAAAUAAAGGAAUGUAGUGGGACGGUAAGUAUUGUGCUCCGCAUUAAUCAAACGUUUGGGGUUUAAAUGUUGGGUUGGAGUCAAUGAAUUACCCCUCAAAGUAGAAUAAAUCUAUAUUAAUCAAAUGUAAAAGAAACAAUUAUUUUCUUAUAAAUUGCAGAUUGAAAUUCCUCCACAUAAGUAAGUUUUAACUAUAUUAAUCGAGACAUAAACAACAAAAUAUUCCUUUUGGCUAUCAAAGUAGCGUCAUCGAGUGCAUAUGAUUUAGAAUAUGGGGCAUGAAAAGACAUCAUCUAAUAUAAAUUAUUUGAACGACAUACGUUAUUUAAUUCAACUUUAAGGGAUGCAUUUUUCUAUUUUAAUUAACUUAUCAAGUACACAAAUAAUUAUAUAAGAUGUAUAAUAUUUAAAUUGUUGGGAAAGACAAGGCACUAACAAAGAAUGCCUGACAGGAUAACAGCGGAAGAAUACUCAAGUCUACACUUUGCCUUCUCAAUUUGAACCAAGAUAAGACAAACAACCACGAGCAAUAUGAUAGUAAGGCAGCAAGUAAUUCAACCAAACAAAUAUAACAAGGCAAUAAUAAACCAAUCACACAAGACACCAAGAUUUACGUGGAAAACCCUUCGAUGUGAAGAGUAAAAAACCAUGGGACCAAAAUCUCCACUAUAAUCACCAAGAGUUACAAUAUUGUUCUCCAAAAUUGGCCACAAAACAAGUGUCAAACAACGAGCAACAACAAAAUAAGAUUGCACCAAAUCUAGAGAAUUAAAGAAGCAAAAUCACCAAUUUCGCAGCUACUGUUCACGACAGCAAAACUGAAGCUGCAGGCCACCAAAUCUAACUCUGUCACUUCCUAAUCAAAUACUAAGAUGAAUAUAAUAUGUUGUCCAAAAAUCAGCUCAAUCGGACAAGAAACGAAGCGGGAAUCACAAUUUGAAGUUGGCUGUUAGGGCUGAAUUUUGACUGCGAAAACUGCUUUCUUUCUCUCUUCUUGGCUGUUGAAAAAACUCUCUGUGUAAAUGAAAAUAAGAUCUAAAUAGGCUUAUAUUUGCCUCAUAAGAAUGGGCCUAUGGGCAAAAAUGGGUUGGUCCAAAUUGGGCUUUUAUUUAUCCACAUAAGAAGGGGAAAAGGCCCAUACCCAACAAUUCUCCCCCUCACGACUAUGUGGAGGAGACCGCCAUCCCGGCGACCAUGCAACAAUCUUCAAACUUCCCUCUUAGCUAAGCUUUAGUCAUCAUAUCAGAACCAUUGUCAUUUUGUAUGAAUCUUUUCAAGCUCAAGCAACUUAGAAUCCAACACAUCUCGAAUCUAAUGGUAUCUCACAUCAAUGUGUUUAGACCGACCAUGGAACGUAGAUUUCUUGCCAAGAUGUAUAGCACUUUGACUGUCACAAUAAAGCACAUACCUCUCUUGAGAACAACCAAGUUCCCCAAGAAUAUCUUCAUCCAAAGCAAUUCUUUUCAAGCUUCAACGACAGCAAUAAGCUCAGCUUCUGUAGUAGAUAGAGCAACAUAUUUUUGCAACCUAGAUUGCCAAGACACAGCUCCCCCUACAAAAGUAACCAAGUACCCCGAAGUAGACUUGCGAGUAUCAACAUCACCAGCCAUGUCUGAAUCAGUAUAACCACAAAGAAUAGGCUUCCCUGUACCAAAUAACAAACUCAGACUAGAAGCUCCAUAGAGAUAUCUCAUAACCCACUUCACAGCAUUCCAAUGUUCUCUUCCCGGAUUAGAAAGAAAACGUCUAACAACUCCAACAGCGUGAGCAAUAUCUGGUCAUGUACAAACCAUCGCAUACAUCAAACUACCAACAGCUGAAGCAUAAGGAACUUUCUUCAUAUCUUCCUUCUCAUCAUCACUAGAAGGACACUGUUUCGUGCUCAAUUUGAAGUGCAUAGCUAAAGGUGUACUGACAACCUUAGCUUUGUCCAUGCUGAAUCUGCGAAGUACUUUCUGAAUGUACUUCUCUUGUGAUAAUACCAAUUUCUUGGCCUUUCUAUCACGGACAAUCUGUAUGCCAAGAAUCUGCCUUGCUGGUCCUAAGUCUUUCAUAGCAAAAGACUUACUCAACUCUUGCUUCAACUUCUGAAUCCUGCAAGUAUUAUGACCAACAAGAAGCAUGUCAUCAACAUAAAGCAACACAAUAAUAAAGUCACCAUCAGAGAACUUUUGCACAAAAACACAAUGGUUUGAAGAAGUCUUCUUGAAGCCUUGCUGACUCAUAAAAGAACCAAACUUCUUGUGCCACUGCUUGGGAGCUUGUUUCAAACCAUACAAGCUCUUCUUUAAUUUGCAAACAUAAUUCUCAUUACCCUUGACUUCAAAAUCUUCCGGUUUAUACAUAUAAAUUUCUUCAUCUAAGUCACCAUGGAGGAAAGUAGUUUUAACAUCCAUUUGCUCAACCUCUAAAUCUAGACUUGCAGCCAAGCCUAGAACUACACGAAUAGAUGAAAUCUUCAUAACUGGAGAGAAUAUCUCAUCAAAAUCAACUCACCUUUUCUGAUUAAAUCCCUUGACAACUAAUCUAGCUUUGUACCGUGGAACUGGAUUACCAUUUUCAUGUUUUACUCGAAAAACCACCUGUUUUUCAAAGCUUUUUUGUCUUUAGGUAACUUAACCAAAUCAAAGGUAUGAUUAUCAUGCAAGGAUUUAAUCUCAUCUUCCAUAGCAUCAAACCACCCUUCUUUUUCUUCACUUUCCAUGGCCUCAUCAAGACUCUCAGGUUAUCCCCCGUCAGUCAAGAGUACAUACUCAUUGGGAGAAUAACGAGAUGAAGGAAUUCUCUCUCUACUAGAUCAUUUGAGAGAACUCUCUGGAGCAUCUAUAAUUGGUUGUUGGACAACCACAUGAUCUUGCACUGGAGCAUCAACAACAUCAUGCCGGUCAUUCUGAACAUAAUGACCAUCUUCAUUAUCAACUUGAUUUUCAUCUAUAUGAAGAUUUUCUUCCGGUGCAAUAGUCAAAGGAACUGGAUCAACAUCAACUAAGCUCUCACUACUCUGAAAAUCAGCCUUGUUAGUUUUGUCAAAAUCUUCAAUUGUUUGGUCUUCAAAUAACACAACAUCACGGCUUCUAACAAGUUUCUUCUCAACAUGAUCAUAGAAACGAUAGCCAAAUUCAUCUUGACCAUAACCAAUGAAGAUACACUGCCUAGUUUUAACAUCCAACUUUGACCUUUCAUCCUUAGGAACAUGUACAAAGGCUUUACACCCAAACGCUCUAAGAUGAUCAUAAGAAACAUUCUUACCAGUCCAAACUCUGUCAGGGACAUCACCAUCUAAAGCAACAGUAGGAGAUAAAUUGAUAACAUAAGCAGCAGUAUUAAGUGCUUCUGCCCAAAAGGAAUCUAACAGCUUAGCAUUUGAAAGCAUACAUCUAACCCUCUCAACUAGAGUUCUGUUCAUCUUCUCUGCUAAACCAUUUAACUGAGGAGUCUUUGGAGGAGUUUUCUGAUUUCUAAUACCAUGCUCUCUGCAAUAUCUAUCAAAAGGACCAAUAUACUCACCACCAUUAUCUGAGCGGAUGCAUUUCAAUGUCUUCCCUGUUUGUUUUUCAAUCAAUGCCUGAAAACUCUUGAACACAUCAAGUACUUGAUCCUUGGACUUCAAAGGAAAUACCCAGAGUUUGCAAGAAUGAUCAUCAAUAAAAGUCACAAAGUAAAGUGCACCACCAUGAGAUCUUACCUUAAAAGGACCACAAAAAUCAGACUGUACCAACUCCAGCAAAUCAAGCUUUCUUGAAGGCGGAUGACUCUGAAAAGAAACUCUUUUCUGUUUACCGGCUAAGCAAUGAACACAUUUCUUCAACUUUGCUUGUUUCACUCCAGAAAGCAAAUUUUUCUUAGCCAAACUAUCAAUCCCCUUCUCGCUCAUAUGACUCAGCCUUCUAUGCCAUAACUCUGAUGAAGUAUCAUUCUCCACAAAAUUUACUGAGUCUCUGGACAUGGAGCCCUUAAAUACAUACAAGUUAGACAACUUGCCACCACAGGCCACAACCAUCAAACCUCUAGUAAGCUUUCACUGGCCAACACCAAGUGUAUUAACAUAACCCUCAUCAUCAAGAUAUCCCACAGAAAUCAAAUUCAAGCGAACAUUUGGAGCAUGCUUGAUAUUAUUGAGAACUAGUUUGGAACCAUUGUUACAUUCAAAACAAACUGUCCCAAUGCCAAUAACUUCAACUUCAUGAUUAUUGCCCAUUUUCAACGUUCCAAAAUUACCUGGAGUAUAAGAAGAAAAUAAUUCCUUCUUUGGCGUGACAUGAGAAGUAGCACCAGAAUCCACAAACCAGCUAGACUCAUCACAAACAAGAUUAAUGGAAUUUGCAUCACAAGAAACAAGAAGAUCAUCAUUAGCAACAACAGCAACACGAUUUUCAUUAUCGCCUUCUCUCUUUUGUUAUCUCAUAUCUCUCUUGUGCUUGUAACAAUAUUUCAUGAUAUGCCCAUUCUUGUGGCAAUAGUCACAUGUAAUAUUCUUGUAUUUAGACUUUGACUUGCUUCUACUUUUACCUCUAUCAUUCUGACCUCUGGACUUGUUUCUCCCCCUAUCUUCAGUAACCAAAACAUCGGAGUGUGAAGCUGAAGAAAAUGAGGCUUGAGAUCUUCUUCUCAAUUCUUCAUUCAAGACACCACUCUUAGUAUAUUCCAUGGUUACAACACCACUGGGAGCAGAAUUAGUCAAAGAAACUCGAAGAGUUUCCCAAAAGUCUGGCAGAGUAUUAAAAAGCCAAAGUCCUUGUAUCUCAUCAUCAAACUUUACACCUAUUUCGGACAGCUGGUCAAGAACACCCUAAAAAUCAUUAAUAUGAUCAGAAAUAGGAGUGCCCUCUUUAUACCUGAUAUUCAUUAAUUCUUUCAAUAGAAACAACUUGUUGUUGUCAGUCUUCGAAGCAUAAAGUGUCUCGAGCUUGUCCCACAAACUUUUGGCAUGUGUCUCAUUCACAAUAUGAUUUCUAACAUUAUCUUCAACCCAUUGUCUAAUAUAGCCACAAAUCUGCAGAUGCACAAAUUCCCAUUCUUCAUCAUUCAAAGACUGAGGCUUAUUAGAUACAAACACAGGUAAAUACAUCUUCUUGACAAAUAGAAGAUCUUUCAUCUUGUCUUUCCAAAUAUGAUAGUUACUACCAUUUAAACACACCAUUUUGCUCAUAGUUGCCUCCAUCAUUCAAAACGACAAUCAACAAUAACCAAUGCUCUGAUACCACUUUGUUGGGAAAGACAAGGCACUAACAAAGAAUGUCUGACAGGAUAACUGCGGAAGAAUACCCAAGUUUGUACUUUCCUUUCUCGAUUUGAACCAAGAGAAGACAAACAACCACGAGCAAUAUGAUAGUAAGGCAGCAAGUAAUUCAACCAAACAAAUAUAACAAGGCAAUAAUAAACCAAUCACAAAGGAUACCAAGAUUUACGUGGAAACCACUUCGAUGUGAAGAGUAAAAAACCACGGGACCAAAAGCUCCACUAUAAUCACCAAGAGUUACAAUAUUUUUCUCCAAAAUUGGCCACAAAACAAGUGCCAAACAACGAGCAACAACAAAAUAAGAUUGCACCAAAUCUAGAGAAUUAAAGGAGCAAAAUCACCAAUUUCGCAGCUACUGUUCACGAUAGCAAAACUGAAGCUGAAGGCCUCCAAAUCCAACUCUGUCAGUUCCUAAUCAAAGAUUGAGAUGAAGAUAAUAUCUUUUCCAAAAAUCAGCUCAAUUGGACAAGAAACUAAGUGGGAAUCGCAAUUUGAAGUUGGCUGUUAGGGUUGAAUUUUGACGGCGAAAACUGCUCUCUUUCUCUCAUUUUGGCUGCUGAAAAAACUCUCUGUGUAUAUGAAAAGAAGACCUAAAUAGGCUUAUAUUUGCCUCAUAAGAAUGGUUCUAUGGACAAAAAUGGGUUGGUCCAAAUUGGGCUUUUAUUUAUUCACAUAGGAAGGGAAAAAGACCCAUAACCCAACAUAAAUUCUACAUGUAGAGACAUUGAAUAGGAGAAAAUUUCUCGCAAUUGAUGAAUAAAUUUUUUUUACAAAUUUUUGAAAAUAUACAUAUAUAAACAAUGAAGCAAUUACAUAUCUUUUCUAAAGACUCUGGUGAUGAACAACUACAUUUAAAAUGUAGAAUUAAUAACAAAAUUCAUAAAAACUUAGAAUCAAAUAUUUUUCGUUUUAAGAUUACAAAAAACGAUUCAGUAUUUUUAUGAUAAAAUGUUCUUAGAGAUUAUCGUAGGUUGUACCUUCUCGAAAAUAUUUAUAUUAGUACAUGUUCAAAGGUAUAUUAUUGACGUAGUUAACCACCACACGAAGCACGGGCAAUUUAUCUACUAUACAUAUAAAAGAGAACCCUAGGUCGCCUACGUGGUGCCACUACAAACCAACAUUCUAUUUAAAUUUAUUAUACUUCCAAAGCUAGCCUUCCUUUUUCAUGAAAAGUUAUGACUUUUAUGAAAAUUUGUAAAUUUUUUCCAUGAAGAGUUGUGACUUAUGAAGAGUUGCAACUUUUAUGAAAUGUUGUGACCUUUCUGGAGGCUUGUAACUUUUCAAAAAGGUUGUGACUUUUCCGAUAAGAAACAAUAACCACAUUUUUACACUAAUCUUUGUUGUCUAUAAAUAGAGGACUAUACUUUGCAUUCCGUGGGCUCAACUUUUUUCAUUCUGUUUCAUUCUAUUGUUGCAUAUUCUAGUAAAUUUUUUACAAUCAUUAGUUUAUGCUUAUAUUAUUAUUUGUUGUUUUUUGAAUAUAUGUUUUAAACUUUGAUUUUUAUAUUUAUGUAAAGUUAUUGUUAUAAGUAUUUGUUAGUUUGAUUAAAUAACAAAUGUUAAUAGAAUAUUCAAGAAAGUUUUCGCGUCUGAAAUUAUUGAAGGUACCUUAAAAAAGCCCUUACAAUUCUGAAAUUUCUUCAUCAACAACGUUAUUCCUUCACAAACAAGGAUGUGAUUUUGUGUUAUUCAGAAAAUCAUCUUAGAGUUAAUAACUAUGCAUGUGCAUAUUUUUUUGUUUUAAUGUAGAUAUUAUGAGUACUUUAAUGAUUGAAAGUUUAUUGAAGUGUUAGUCAAUUAGUGUGGAGGUAUCUUAUUUCAAAAUGUAGGAAUUUUUUUGGUGAAAAUGAUUUGUUAUCAUCAUUGGAUAUAUCACAGUUUACUCCCUUUAUUGUAUGUUUUUUCUCGCUCUUUUGUUGUCUUCUUACAAUUGAAUUGAUUUUUUUUUGACAUGUAUAUAAUGCCACUAUGACAAAGAUCUUCGUCCUUUUAAUGUUUAUUUUCAUUUCUCAUUCAAUCUUCUAAAUAUUUUUGACGUAAGAUGUGACUAUUUUAGUCAAUCUUAAUUUGAAAAAUAUGAAACAAAACCUACAAAUAAAAGUAAGAUUUUAAGUUAAAGAAGAUAAGUCUGUUAACAUAGAUUGGUUGUCCUUCAUUCCUCAAGUCAUUGUUAAGCGUUCAAAUUAUCUAAGUUAGACUCAUUUUUAAAUUUUAAUGUUUGAGAAUGUUUCUUUAACAUGAGUCCAGAAUAAAACAUUUAUCUCUAUAUACUUUCAUAAUGAAACAAUCAUACAUAAAUAUUCCUAAAAAGUCAUAAAGUUACAUUGAUGAAAAAUUCAGAAUGGCCUUCUGUAGUUUAAUGAAGAAUGAAUUUCUAUAAGGGUUAACAAAUAUUAUUUUGUUGUUGUUUCAAAUAUAUUUUUCUCCUUCUAUAAUUUUUUUUAGAAUAACAAUGUAAUAAUAACGAAAAGUGAGAAACAUUUGACCUCAAAUAAGUAGAUUAUGUCUAAAAAUAUUAUUUCUGUUGUUGUGGUGUAUACUUUUUAAAGGACGUAACUUAUUUAUAACUAUAUUCAUUAUCAAAAACUUUCACAAAAUGUUUUUACACAAGGAAUUAUAAUAACCAUAAAACUAUUAGAUUCUAUAUUUCAUGUAUAAAAAAAAAAGAUUUUUAAUGGCUACAUAAAAACAUGACUCAAUUUUAACAGGAAAAUUAUAUCAUAAAACAUAUAAUAUGAUAAAUUAUGUAAAAGAUAAAAAUAAUUAAAUAUCAAGAUAUUUCUAAUCAUUAAUUGUAUAUUAAAAAAUUUUGAGAUAUGAGAUAACGUCAAAUCAUGUAAUUUGUCUAUAAAUUUUCUAAAAACCUACAAAAAUUUACUUUUUUCUUAUAAAAGUCUAUCAUUGGUAAAGUUGUUCACAAGUUUAGAAAGAUUUCUUAUGCCCGCAGGUGGACUACCUAGUUGAAGAAUAAAGGAAAAAAUUACAAAGAAUGUGACUGAUAAAUUUAAACAAAGACAAAUUGAGAAAAGAGAAUAGUAAAAAAUAAAAAGGAUAAAGCUUCACAUUGAACCAAUGAAGCCUUUUCAUUUGUUUUGGAAUCUGGGCCCAAAACGUCUCAGCCUUUUUAAAGUAAAAAAAAAAGGUGAAAAAAAUAUGCACAGAGUGAGAAUCAAACUCGGCCAUUCCAGGCAGAACUUGAUCCCCUUAUUCAUUACGUGAUCCUUCUCUUUAAUAGUUAGGGGUUCAUUUUUAUUAAUAUACUCAUAAAACCAGAAAUUGACCUAACAUAUACAGUUUAAUUUUUCGACGUAGGGGGUUCUAGUGAACCCCCUAGAUUGCACAUGUAUCCGCCCCUGGGUGUGGGAUAUGGGAAGAGAAAUAAUUGACAUGGAUUCAACUCAUAACUUUGUAAAACAGAGUAGACUAUUCAGACCUCAAGAAAUCUGUGUUGUUGUACAAGGAAAUUGUUGGUGUUAUCAGCUAAAGAAAAAACAUACAAUAAAAGAAGAUAAGAGAGACAUAAUAUUAAGUUGAAAGAAGAAAUGAUUAAAUAGAACGAACUCCUAACCUUUUGUAGUACAUAAUUCAGUAACUAGAAAAAGAACUAGGCACUAAGUCUACCAACAACUCAACAUGCCUAAAGACUAGGAAACUCAAAACUAAAAAACUAAAACUGAAAUAUUUAUAUUUAGAAAAUAGAAAACACAUCAUCAGCCAUGUCAUCAUGCCAAUUCAACAUCAAUUAAUAACUCAAGAGGUAGAUUUCAACACUUCUCCUUGCAUCAAGAGUUGCAAAUUCCAUGUCCCUUUCCGAAGAACUCAAAUUUGCUUGCCGGAAGAGUUUUUGUAAAAAUAUCAGUCACCUGCUCUUUCGUUCUGCAAUAUACCAGAUUCGCUAAACCAUCCCUUGCACUUCUCUUCGAAAGUAUAGCGUCACAUUGAAAUGUAUGGUCUUUCUAUGAAAAAAUUGGAUUGUGAGAAAUAGCAGAGGCAACUUUGGUGCCCAUACAUAUUUUAGUGCUUUCCUUCAUUUACAACCCAAGAUCGCAUAAGAUUUUCUGUAUCCAUAAAGCUUGAUUGCCUGGUGCUGUAGCAGCAAUGAAUUCUGCUGCUGCAAUUGAUUGCGCAACAAUCUCUUAUUUUUUGGAACAACAAGAAAGGUAUCCAACACCAAAAAUAAAACCGUACCCUGAAGUACUUUUCAUAUCAUAGUCCAUUGUGCCUGUGAUAUAUCUGAGUACUCUUUUUGCAUCUUGUAUAUGCAAUUCACUAGGAGAAUUCAAGAAUCGGGAUAGAACACUUAGAUCAUACAAUAUAUGUGGUCUUGUUGCUGUAAGAUACAUCAAACAUCCUAUCAGCUUUUUGCAUAUCCAGCUGGUUCAAAUACGACUACAUUUCAUCUUUGAUAGAUACUUGAAAGUGAUCUAGUUCCUCGAACGGGAGGAUGAUCAACUCGUUCCUCAAAAUUGUGCAAUUCAUUAGCUUUUCUUUCUUGUUAUUCUCCAUCCUAAUCCGGUUGCUUUUGUUAUAAAAAAUUCACAUCUCUGUAUACCAAAAAUUUUCCAUUUUCAGAUUGGAAAAUUCUGUAAGCUUUUUACUGCAAAGCUAUAGCCAAUGAAAUUCUAGGUUCUACCUUCUUGUCAAGUUUAUCCAUUUUGAGCUAAGGUAUGUGAGAGAAGCAUAAGCAACCAAAAAUAUUGAGAUUUUUUUGUAAAGGUUUGUAAGCAUUCCAUGCUUCAAAUGGUGUUUGACCAGUCAUUGCCUUUGUAUGCAGCAAAUUCAACAAAAAUACAGUAGUAUUAGCUGCCUCUGCCCAUAACUCCUUGGAAAGCUCUUUCUCAUGCAACAUACACCUUGAUAUCUCCUUGACGGUCGUAGUCUUCCUUAUGCUUACUCCAUUUUUCUGAGGAGUAUAUGGAGUAGCGAGUUGAUGCUCUAUUCCAGCAACUUUACAAAAGUUUUUGAACUGAUCUGAAGUGAACUAAGUCCCAUUAUCUGAUCUGAGCACUUGUAGUUUGCAGUCGCUUUGAUUUUUACCAAGGCUUUUAAUUUUCAAAAAAACAUCAGCAACCUCCGAUUUUAAUCUUAAGAAGUAUAUCUAAAUCCUUGUUAUAUCAUCAAUAGAAAUCAUGUAGUACCUGUUUCCUUUUAAUGAUAGAGUUCUUUGGGGGCCUCCAAGAUAUAUAUGAAUCAGCUGCAAUUUUCAGUCGCUCUCCAAGUUUAUUUUGGGAAUGGAGAUCUCGUCUGCAUACCAAGUUGACAUGCCUCGCAACUUGGGAGUUUUUGUUCAAGUGAAGGUAAGCCUUUUACCAACCCUUUUUUUUGCAUAUACAAAAGCGCCUUGUGGUGAAAGUGACCCAACCGUUUGUGCCAUGUUUCUCCAACACCGGACUUAGUUGGAUUCCAUUUGUUCUUCAUCCAUUAGAUUUAAAGAAAAACUUUUUCCCUGCAUUUUAAUAUAAAUGGUUCCUCACCACUUGGAUAAAUCAUCAGACACACCUUAUCUUCAAAAAGUAAUUUGAACCCAUUUUCAAGUAACCGUCCAACAUUUAAUAAAUUUUUAUCAAGUUCAGAAUUAAAUAGAACUUCAGAAACAAAUUUUGUGCCUAUAUAAUCUCAAUAGCUACAGUCCACUUUCCUUUUGUAGGGAGGUAUUCUCCAUUUCCAAUCCUGACUCUUGAUGUUGUUGUUUUAUCAAGCCUUUCGAAAAGCUUUUCAUCACUAGUCAUGUGGUUUGUACAACCACUAUCAAUAAGACAACUGUCACUUGAAAUACUAGAUGCAAAACUUGAUGCAACAAAUUUGAGCUUCUCCUUGUUCUUGUUGUUGUCGUCCUUUCUCUUUGUAGAUGAUUUCAUCAUGUCCAAGUUUUUGAUAUUUUGGCAUCUCAUAUAUGGCUUUCUCUAGCAUUUGAAGUGAGGAUGAUUCUUCCUUUCAGAAUAUUGACAUGGGGGAAUUUUUCUCCUCUGUUGCUGCCUGAAUUGUAGCUACUUCCAGUACAAACGGAAACCAGACUAUUUUCUGCAUAAUUAUUCUCCCCUUUGAUUUGCUUGUUUUUUUUCAAGGAUAGUUUUGCCGAUUGUCCUGAAGUGCACCUUCUACCGAUCCUUCCUAUCUUAUUAACCUUCUUUGCUUGUGUACCUGCAAUGCAUUUGGUAAUCCUGCCAAAGUUAUCCUUGACAGAUCCUUGGUAUUUUCUAUGGAAGCAAUGGUUGGUUCAAACUUCUAAGGUAAUGUAACAAGAAGCGUGUCAAUAACUCUGCUAUCAGGAAACUUAUUUCCCAACAUUCUUACCUUUAUCACAAUGCUAAGAAGCCUGUCUAAGUAUUCUUUGACAUUUUCAGAAUCUUUCUUUCUUUGUACCUCAAAUUCUCUAAUGAUAUUCAUAUCUUUCAUACUUUUGAUUCGCUCAUCUCUUUGGUAUUCUUCUUUUAAAAAAAUCCCAGAUUGCUUUUGUUGAUUCCAACAGCAUGAUUUCGGGAAAAGUUGUAGGUGAUAGUGCAGCAUAUAAGCAAGAUUUCGCGUUGGAUUUUCUUGUCUUGCUUUACUUGUUAAGCUUGACCUGAGUCAUUGCUCAAUUACUUGGUAAUGAUGACAUCUUGUUUACAACUAAUGAUCUUGGUUUAUUCCACGAUACUAAGAAAUCUCGCUCAAACAACUUUGACUCAAAAGAUAUGAUAGAGACAUUCUAGAAAAUUGAGAUAAAUAUAUUUUUAUUUGGAUAGAUCACAAGGAUUAAUGAGGUUAUCUUAUAAAUCCUAUAUGAAUGAAGUGUUAGAGUGAUUGAAAGGUUAUAUGAAUAAACUGUUAUAGUGAUUUUGAAUGAAAAAAUGUUAAUCCAGCUCUGUUCCGAUUUAGAAAGGAGAUAAAUUUGAUAGCAACAUGUGUGUUAAUUUGAUUAACCAUGUUUAAUAUUAUUUUGGUUUAAUAAAGUAGCUAAAUUCUAAUUUAAUUAAGGAAGUCAUUUUAGAUAAUCCCAUUAAUCCACUUCAAUGGAAAGUGAGAAUUAACUGUUCCAUCUCUGUCAUUCUGAAAUAUUAGCAAAGAAGAAGAAAGUAAUAUUGUUUUGAUUAAAGUCAAGAACACUACAGUCGAUUCUGGUAUGUUUUUUCUUGACUGAAUUUCUUAUAUGUAAGAUUGUGAAAAUUAUGUAGGUCUACCCUCUAAAUAAUUGAUAGAAUUUCAUUACAGAUUUCUUAUAUACACAAUAUGUAAUUGAUGAAAUUUCUUACAUAACAUCGAUAAUUAUGUAAAAACAUAGAAGUAAACUUGUUCUAACUUUAAUCUUAUUUUCUACAAUUUAUUUCCACAACAAAAUUAAAUAGCCAAUUCAACAACAAAGUUUCAAUUUCAGUGACAAUAAAUAAAAUCCAACUAAUAACACGAAUAAAAAAAGAUUGAAUUUAAAGAGAGAGAUAAAAGACUUACAGUAGUGAAAUCGAGCAUAGAAGAGCAAGAGACGAUAGGAGAUGAGUUGACCGCUGAUUUUAGCUAAAGCUUUCUGGGUUGCCCGAUUGAUGAUGCUACCCUUUACUACUGUUUUUGUUGUUUUUCUUCUUACUGGUGUUCCUCUGAAUUCGUCUGCAAUUUCUCUGGCAGCGCCCAACUUUUCAUGCGGCCAACAACGUCACCUUUGCCUACCCAAUUUUGUUUUGCCUUCUCACUACAAAAGGAACCCCAAUUACCAACAAAAAGAUUCAUUGGUAAAUUGAUCAAAUU